UACGUAGGGUGCGAGCGUUAAUCGGAAUUACUGGGCGUAAAGUGUGCGCAGGCGGCCGCGCAAGUCGAGUGUGAAAUCCCCGAGCUUAACUUGGGAAUUGCGCUCGAAACUACGUGGCUGGAGUGUGGCAGAGGAAGGUGGAAUUCCACGUGUAGCGGUGAAAUGCGCAGAUAUCAGGAGGAACACCGGUGGCGAAGGCGGUUCUCUGGGCAUUACCUGACGCUGAGGAGCGAAAGUGUGGGGAGCGAACAGG
rnacentral:rRNA from 1 species